rnacentral:rRNA from 1 species
AAAAUAUAUGUUAAGUGGAAAAGGAUGUGGCGUUGCCCAGACAACUAGGAUGUUGGCUUAGAAGCAGCCAUCAUUUAAAGAGUGCGUAAUAGCUCACUAGUCGAGUGACACUGCGCCGAAAAUGUACCGGGGCUAAACAUAUUACCGAAGCUGUGGAUUGUCCUUUGGACAAUGGUAGGAGAGCGUUCUAAGGGCGUUGAAGCAUGAUCGUAAGGACAUGUGGAGCGCUUAGAAGUGAGAAUGCCGGUGUGAGUAGCGAAAGACGGGUGAGAAUCCCGUCCACCGAUUGACUAAGGUUUCCAGAGGAAGGCUCGUCCGCUCUGGGUUAGUCGGGUCCUAAGCUGAGGCCGACAGGCGUAGGCGAUGGAUAACAGGUUGAUAUUCCUGUACCACCUAUAAUCGUUUUAAUCGAUGGGGGGACGCAGUAGGAUAGGCGAAGCGUGCGAUUGGAUUGCACGUCUAAGCAGUAAGGCUGAGUAUUAGGCAAAUCCGGUACUCGUUAAGGCUGAGCUGUGAUGGGGAGAAGACAUUGAGUCUUCGAGUCGUUGAUUUCACACUGCCGAGAAAAGCCUCUAGAUAGAAAAUAGGUGCCCGUACCGCAAACCGACACAGGUAGUCAAGAUGAGAAUUCUAAGGUGAGCGAGCGAACUCUCGUUAAGGAACUCGGCAAAAUGACCCCGUAACUUCGGGAGAAGGGGUGCUCUUUAGGGUUAACGCCCAGAAGAGCCGCAGUGAAUAGGCCCAAGCGACUGUUUAUCAAAAACACAGGUCUCUGCUAAACCGUAAGGUGAUGUAUAGGGGCUGACGCCUGCCCGGUGCUGGAAGGUUAAGAGGAGUGGUUAGCUUCUGCGAAGCUACGAAUCGAAGCCCCAGUAAACGGCGGCCGUAACUAUAACGGUCCUAAGGUAGCGAAAUUCCUUGUCGGGUAAGUUCCGACCCGCACGAAAGGCGUAACGAUUUGGGCACUGUCUCAACGAGAGACUCGGUGAAAUCAUAGUACCUGUGAAGAUGCAGGUUACCCGCGACAGGACGGAAAGACCCCGUGGAGCUUUACUGUAGCCUGAUAUUGAAAUUCGGCACAGCUUGUACAGGAUAGGUAGGAGCCUUUGAAACGUGAGCGCUAGCUUACGUGGAGGCGCUGGUGGGAUACUACCCUAGCUGUGUUGGCUUUCUAACCCGCACCACUUAUCGUGGUGGGAGACAGUGUCAAGCGGGCAGUUUGACUGGGGCGGUCGCCUCCUAAAAGGUAACGGAGGCGCUCAAAGGUUCCCUCAGAAUGGUUGGAAAUCAUUCAUAGAGUGUAAAGGCAUAAGGGAGCUUGACUGCGAGACCUACAAGUCGAGCAGGGUCGAAAGACGGACUUAGUGAUCCGGUGGUUCCGCAUGGAAGGGCCAUCGCUCAACGGAUAAAAGCUACCCCGGGGAUAACAGGCUUAUCUCCCCCAAGAGUUCACAUCGACGGGGAGGUUUGGCACCUCGAUGUCGGCUCAUCGCAUCCUGGGGCUGUAGUCGGUCCCAAGGGUUGGGCUGUUCGCCCAUUAAAGCGGUACGCGAGCUGGGUUCAGAACGUCGUGAGACAGUUCGGUCCCUAUCCGUCGUGGGCGUAGGAAAUUUGAGAGGAGCUGUCCUUAGUACGAGAGGACCGGGAUGGACAUACCUCUGGUGUACCAGUUGUCGUGCCAACGGCAUAGCUGGGUAGCUAUGUGUGGACGGGAUAAGUGCUGAAAGCAUCUAAGCAUGAAGCCCCCCUCAAGAUGAGAUUUCCCAACUUCGGUUAUAAGAUCCCUCAAAGAUGAUGAGGUUAAUAGGUUCGAGGUGGAAGCAUGGUGACAUGUGGAGCUGACGAAUACUAAUCGAUCGAAGACUUAAUCAAAA